rnacentral:lncRNA from 1 species
GGGGCAGGUGCCGAAGGGCUUCUUGGAGGGGGUACUGACGGUGAUCUACAAAAAAGGCGACCCCAAACUCCCUGGCAACUACCGUCCUAUCACCCUGCUUUGCUCGGACUACCGACUGCUCACCAAAGUGCUGGCAAACCGCCUAGGCCCUGCCCUUGGCCAAGUCAUAACCCCCGAGCAAUCAGCCUUCCUACCCAGGCGCCUCAUUGGAGCCAGUGUGCUAUUCCUGCGUCACCUGUCACACCUCCUUCGCAAGCAGAACCGCCGGGGGCUCCUGGCAUUCCUGGACUUCGCCAAGGCCUAUGACACGGUGGAUCGUGGGUUCCUCCUGGCAGCAAUGGAGACCAUGGGUGCAGGGCCACAGCUCUGCGCCUGGGUACGGCUGCUGCUGAGCGAAACGCGAGCCCGAGCGAUGGUGAAUGGCUACAAAUCGAAGCUGGUGAACAUGGAAGCAGGGGUACGGCAAGGGUGCCCCCUCGCACCCUUGCUCUACCUCUUCGUUGCUCAGGCCCUACAAUGCUGGCUCCGGAGCCAAGACGUGGGGAUCAAAUUACAGCCGGCCGACUCACAACCAGUCACCGCGUGUCAAUAUGCGGAUGACACGGAAGUGGCGCUGCAGGGUGAAGACUCAGUACCAUCGUUCCUCCAGGCCAUGGACACCUUUGCCCGGGCAUCUGGCCAACGCCUAAAUCUCGACAAAGUGGAGCUGCUGUGGAUUGGCCAAUUAAACCAACAGCAGGCGCAACCUGCAACCCAGGCCGGACCCCAAUCAGCUGCCCCUCAGCAGGAGUCAAUAGGAGGUCUCAAGGUGGUGACCACCGCCACCGCCCUGAACCUGCCGAUUGACAACCAGCCAUCCCCGCCACAGCCCGACUGGAUGAAAAGACUCGGGGAAGCCAAGCGGCGACUGCAGCGGCUCUCGCGCUUCCCGCUAUCAGCAUUCGGUCGAGCCACAGCGGCAUCGGUGUACGGAAUGCAGACAGUCACCUGGCACAUGGAGCAUGGUGGGCCGCCCCCCAACCGUACGCUGGACGAAAUAGAACGCCUAACGGCCCGCCUCGUCGACCGGCAGCAGGGCCCAGAAGACCCCGGCCGCCGCUUGACAGGGGUGCCUAAGGAUCUCUUGACCGGCCACCCGUCGGCUGGAGGCUUUGGCCUGCUGCCCCUCCAGCAACACAUCCAGGCUCGGCAUGCGGUAUGGGCUGUGCGCUUCAUCAUAGCGGCCCUCGGGCUAUCUAACGCGUCAUGUGGGCCAGGGACAGGUGGAGCUGCAGGAACCACGGGUGGUACCGGGGGGCACGGGAGGGCAGAUGGCGGCCUCCAUCCCUGGGUCCGGACGCUCUCCGCCUAUAUGCUGCUCACCCACCCCGCCUUCCAACCGUGGGCCCUGACGACCGCCAGCCAAGCCGGGCCCCGACUCGGCGGAAGCGACCUACCCACGGAUAUCAGCCGGAUUGUGGGCGCCCUGGGACACCUACCACCGCUCCGGGAUAUCGAGACCAGCCCCCUGUCCCCCGGACCGUGGUGCUGGGCAACCGCGUUGUGGGGUAACCCGUUGCUCCCCAAUACCGGCGAGGCAGACCCAGACAGUUUGAACCGCCGCCCGGGCCUGGAGACGCACUUCGUGGGGAUCGCUACAUGCAGGAAACUGCAAACGGUGGGCGACCUAGUGCGGGUCUGGGACCUAGUGGUGCAUACUCGAGUGGCCUCCCUCCCCAGGUCGACCUGGCCCGAAUGGGUCAGGACACACCUCGACCCAUCAACCCCAGCACCCACGCGGGACAGGUCAGCGACCCUGGCAGCCCUUAAGACGCUACAUGGCGCUAUCAACCCGGCCUGGCUCGAAGCUGCAAGAGCAGUGGAAACCCAACAGCAACAGCAACCCCAGCCGCAGGCACAGCUGCAGCCACAGCCGCAGUCACAGCCACAGCCGCAGCCACAGCCGCAGCCACAGCCGCAGCCACAGCCGCAGCCACAGCCGCAGCCACAGCCGCAGCCACAGCUACAGACGCAGCCGCAUGAGCAGCAACCCCAACAGCAGCAGCCAGAGAUGCCAAAGGCGGGGGAUAUGGCGGCUCCAAGCACCCCCAACAGCACUCAGGCGAUGGCUAUGAUCCUAAAGCGGGUCGGAUGGCAGAUACCGGGCGGCACAACAACCGUCCCACUCACACGCCUGACGGUCCGCCUAGCGACACAGCUGCAAUGCGGGGCCACCGAGGAGAAACGGGGACGCUUGAUGGCAGCAUUUGUGCAAGAAGCGUUGGACCCGCAGGAAACAGCACCUUCCUCCUCAGCGGAAACAAGCCGCUUCAGGGCGACGCAAGCCCGCUUGUGGUCGGGGGUGCGGUGGGAGAACGAGAACAAAGAAACGCUGUGGCGGCUCGCUGUGGACAGCAUCCCCCUGCCCGGCAACACGCACCUGGCCCGCAUGGUGCCUGAGCGCUGUGGGUGUGGAGGGUUCGGCAACGCCAGCAACCAGCACUGCUCCCCACGCAUGCACCACUUCUGGGAGUGCCCCGUCGCACAAGCUGUCCGGGAGCAGAUUGACCGACACAUACAGCCCUCCCAGGAGGCAGCGACAGGCGGCAUCACCCGGAAGCAGCUGUGGUUGGUCCAAGCCCCGACCGGCUGCGAGCAGGCCCCCUGGGACGUGAUCGCCCUGGCGGCCCUGUCUGCUAUGGAGGUAGGCAGGUGCUGCCUGCGAGCAGCCGGACGGCGACUGGAAAGGGCGGCUAACCCCGCGACAGAACAGCCAGAGCAAGCGCAACAGAUCCAGGCGCAAGGGCCCCAACAGCGGCGGAUAACGGACUUCUUUCACCUGGCCAACGGAGUGAGACCGCACGAGGGGCCGCCGCUGAACGCGCCGGUACUCGANNNNNNNNNNNNNNNNNNNNNNNNNNNNNNNNNNNNNNNNNNNNNNNNNNNNNNNNNNNNNNNNNNNAACAGCAACAGCAACCCCAGCCGCAGGCACAGCUGCAGCCACAGCCGCAGUCACAGCCACAGCCGCAGCCACAGCCGCAGCCACAGCCGCAGCCACAGCCGCAGCCACAGCCGCAGCCACAGCCGCAGCCACAGCCGCAGCCACAGCUACAGACGCAGCCGCAGCCUCAGCCUCAGCCACAGCCGCAGCCACAGCCGCAGGUACAGCCACAACAGCUGCAAACACAACCACAGCUACAGACACAGCAUCAGCCGCAGCCGCAACAGCAGCAACAGCCGCAGCAACAGCUACAGACGCAGCCGCAUGAGCAGCAACCCCAACAGCAGCAGCCAGAGAUGCCAACGGCGGGGGACAUGGCGGCUCCAAGCACCCCCAACAGCACUCAGGCGAUGGCUAUGAUCCUAAAGCGGGUCGGAUGGCAGAUACCGGGCGGCACAACAACCGUCCCACUCACACGCCUGACGGUCCGCCUAGCGACACAGCUGCAAGGCGGGGCCACCGAGGAGAAACGGGGACGCUUGAUGGCAGCAUUUGUGCAAGAAGCGUUGGACCCGCAGGAAACGGCACCUUCCUCCUCAGCGGAAACAAGCCGCUUCAGGGCGACGCAAGCCCGCUUGUGGUCGGGGGUGCGGUGGGAGAACGAGAACAAAGAAACGCUGUGGCGGCUCGCCGUGGACGGCAUCCCCCUGCCCGGCAACACGCACCUGGCCCGCAUGGUGCCUGAGCGCUGUGGGUGUGGAGGGUUCGGCAACGCCAGCAACCAGCACUGCUCCCCACGCAUGCACCACUUCUGGAAGUGCCCCGUCGCACAAGCUGUCCGGGAGCAAAUUGACCGACACAUACAGCCCUCCCAGGAGGCCGCGACAGGCGGCAUCACCCGGAAGCAGCUGUGGUUGGUCCAAGCCCCGACCGGCUGCGAGCAGACCCCCUGGGAUGUGAUCGCCCUGGCGGCCCUGUCUGCUAUGGAGGUAGGCAGGUGCUGCCUGCGAGCAGCCGGAAGACGACUGGAAAGGGCGGCUAACCCCGCGACAGAACAGCCAGAGCAAGUGCAACAGAUCCAGGCGCAAGGGCCCCAACAGCGGCGGAUAACGGACUUCUUUCACCUGGCCAACGGAGUGAGACCGCACGAGGGGCCGCCGCUGAACGCGCCGGUACUCGAGGAUCAAACGCAGGGGCCCAUCGCGGGACCGGGGACGGCAACAGCAGCAGCAACAGCAGCAGCAGCAGCAACAGCAGCAGCAACCCCCCUGGAAUACGCCCGCGCUCGGGCAGUAGUGGACUUCUGGGCGCGCUUGCGCUCUUUCACCGCGCUCAAUGUCCCAAGGCGGGGCUGGGACGGAGUGGGACCCCACCACCCGAUCCUGUCAAUCGUCGGGGGAGCACUGUGCUGCGCGGAGGCGGUGGACAUCACGACCUAAUGGUCAAGCGGACGCGGCGGGAGCUGUAGUUUAGGGGAUAAGGGGAUAGGGUGUCGAGGCGCGGAGGGGGGAUUUGAGGUGGUGGGGGUGGUAGGGAGGUCGAGAGGGAGGUUGAGGGGAAAGGUUGCGAGGGGGGCGGGAUCAGGGAUGGGGCUUGGGGGGGGUGCCGCGCAAGGGGACAUGGGGGAGGGAGGGUGUAUUUGCCUGGGGGAGCCGUACCGGCGGAGGGGGGGGAGACCGGGGAAAGGGCGGGGAGAGCCGGGGGGGGAGGGGAAGAGGCAGAGAGAGCACCAAGAGGAUGUAGGGUUGAGGGGUGGUGAGUGGAAACAGGUGGCCGUAGCGAGGGCGCGGAUGAGGGGGAGGUGGGCACCCAGAAGGAGGGGCCGUACUCGAAGGUGCGCGCGUGGUGCAGGACUAGGUUCUUNNNNNNNNNNNNNNNNNNNNNNNNNNNNNNNNNNNNNNNNNNNNNNNNNNNNNNNNNNNNNNNNNNNNNNNNNNNNNNNNNNNNNNNNNNNNNNNNNNNNNNNNNNNNNNNNNNNNNNNNNNNNNNNNNNNNNNNNNNNNNNNNNNNNNNNNNNNNNNNNNNNNNNNNNUGACCAGGAACUAAGUUGAUGCGCCGUUGAUCCGCUAGAUUUGGUUGGAUGCUGGUGGUGAGUUGCCGAACCCACCGAAUACAUUCUGAAGUCGGAUGGGGUGACGGAUUAGGGUGCCCCUCUAGCAGGGGAGAGCAGGGACUGCCCCGGGAAAGGGGGCCGCUGGCGAAGUUAACCACCCUGUAACAACAUACAUACAAGGCGCAUCACCCUCUCCGCUAUCAACCCCGCAGAAACCAGCGGCCAACACAUCCCAUACAAACACAACGGCCCAUUAAGAAAGGCCGUAGUGCCCGAAACAUGUGCAAUAUGACCGCCCAUACACACGCUGCCAUCAUCAUCAUCAACAUCAUCAUCAUCAUAAUCAUAAUCAUCAUUAUCACCAACACCACCAGCAGCAGCAGCAGUGUCUUACCUUCUCAGUUUAGCAAGCGCGGAUGUCUUCUUAUUUUUCUUGGUUCCAGCCGCUCCGGAACCACCAACACCGGGGCCCGCCGGCGGCGGUCUCGUAGGCCUCGCACCGGCCGACUCCCCUGCCGCCGUCUUCUCCUCCUCGCGCUCCAGGGGAUGGCGCCAAGGCUCCGUCCGCCGAGUGCUGAUGCUCAUGGUGGCUCCGUAGCGGUGUAGGUGUCGUCGCGGCUGUAGCAGCGGCGGCGGAUGCAGAUACGGCAGCGGUGGCGGCGGUCCUUACGGCCGCGGCGGAGGCAACUGCAACGCUGGUUGUCGUAGUUGUCGUUGUGGUGGUUGUGGUGGUUGUGGUGGUUGUUGUGCUGGUGCUGGUAAUAACCGCUGCAGUCGGUGCUGCGGUUGCGACAGCAAAAGCCGCACCGGUCGCGUCUGCCGCAGAAGCCCUUGCCUUGUACAAGAGGUCGCGAUUACUUGUGCAGCGUGUGCGCGAACACUUAACUUUUUCCACCGAUCCCAGGUUCGCGGUUGGACACAGGCAGAACAGCAGAGCUCGCAAGGAACGGGCGCCACAGGAAAACAGAAACGGCCGUUGCCGAUGUAACAACAAAACUAUUGGCUGCAGAUCUCCUGGUUGCUGUUGCCGGUGGUAAUUAAAACAACAAUAAAAAUAAUCGGCGAUGAAAUUUUAAACGCCGGAAUUGUCGACGACGAUAGUAAAUGGACGAGUGAGUUUUUGGAUUCGACCAGUCGGCAUUAGUAACGUCCCUCGGAAUCCCUGGGAGCACGGCGAGCAGGGCCCUGGCCCGUCCCGCACAAGUCGAGUCGGUGGCCACUCAGCCGAUGGCAGACCGCCCUCUCGUCGAUUUCAAGAUCCUUAUACUUCUUAUGAUAAGGGGGAUUACCACCUUAGCAGCAGGGAAAUAGACGACUGCUGCUGUAGCCAGUUCACACGCCGUAUGGAGAUGUCCUGGACCUUGCCGCCUAUCUAUGAGCUCUACGAGCUGGCGUUGGAGUUCCAAAAGAUGCGGCGCGCGUAAACAUGCGAACUGGCAUCCGUCCGNNNNNNNNNNNNNNNNNNNNNNNNNNNNNNNNNNNNNNNNNNNNNNNNNNAGACCAUGGGUGCAGGGCCACAGCUCUGCGCCUGGGUACGGCUGCUGCUGAGCGAAACGCGAGCCAGAGCGAUGGUGAAUGGCUACAAAUCGAAGCUGGUGAACAUGGAAGCAGGGGUAUGGCAAGGGUGCCCCCUCGCACCCUUGCUCUACCUCUUCGUUGCUCAGGCCCUACAAUGCUGGCUCCGGAGCCAAGACGUGGGGAUCAAAUUACAGCCGGCCGACUCACAACCAGUCACCGCGUG